UAACGCGUGGGUAACCUGCCCUGUACAGGGGGAUAACAGUCAGAAAUGACUGCUAAUACCGCAUAAGACCACAGCACCGCAUGGUGCAGGGGUAAAAACUCCGGUGGUACAGGAUGGACCCGCGUCUGAUUAGCUGGUUGGUGAGGUAACGGCUCACCAAGGCGACGAUCAGUAGCCGGCUUGAGAGAGUGAACGGCCACAUUGGGACUGAGACACGGCCCAAACUCCUACGGGAGGCAGCAGUGGGGAAUAUUGCACAAUGGGGGAAACCCUGAUGCAGCGACGCCGCGUGAGUGAAGAAGUAUCUCGGUAUGUAAAGCUCUAUCAGCAGGGAAGAAAAUGACGGUACCUGACUAAGAAGCCCCGGCUAACUACGUGCCAGCAGCCGCGGUAAUACGUAGGGGGCAAGCGUUAUCCGGAAUUACUGGGUGUAAAGGGUGCGUAGGUGGUAUGGCAAGUCAGAAGUGAAAACCCAGGGCUUAACUCUGGGACUGCUUUUGAAACUGUCAGACUGGAGUGCAGGAGAGGUAAGCGGAAUUCCUAGUGUAGCGGUGAAAUGCGUAGAUAUUAGGAGGAACAUCAGUGGCGAAGGCGGCUUACUGGACUGAAACUGACACUGAGGCACGAAAGCGUGGGGAGCAAACAGGAUUAGAUAC
rnacentral:rRNA from 1 species